UUAAUGCCUAUUGCCUUAGCCAACUAUAGGGCACACUCAAACAAAGUUAACGCCUUGGCCAUUUUCCUAUCUGAGAGAGAAACCUCGAGCUUUUCUUCAUUUCGAGCAAAAUCUGGAGCUUUUCUUCACCAUCUUCUCAAAACACUUAGCCAUCACAAAUCACCAUCUUUCAAAGUCUGGAUUUAGGUUCUAUUCGAUUAGGGUUCGAUUUGGGUUCUACUCGAUUAGGGUUCGAGUUGGGGGUUUUUCAUUCUGCUGAAAUGGGGGAUUUGGGUUCUGACCAAUCGAGUUGGGUUCUACUUGAUUAGGCUAUUUCUUCAGCCCCAGAGAGAAGAUAAAUCUCAUUCUUUGCAAGAUCCGCACUGGGUAUUUCUUCUCUUCUUCUCUUCAUUCACACCUGUUCUCUCAUCUCUCUUCUCAAAUUCACCAGAUCCGCCAAAGACGCAGUCCACACCGGAGCUCCGCCUUGCCCUUCCUCCUUCUCUUUUCUCCUCCCACCCCGAUGAGAACUAGAAAGAGAACGGGAAGCUCUCAAGGCCUCAAUCAUCUUCUCCAGCCCUACAUUUUUGGAGGAUAAAUCACUAAUUCCUGUCAACCUCUGGAUGAACAAUGCUCAAGCUAGAUCAAGCACUCACUAUGAUCCACACCAUAGCCUUCUCUGCUUAGUUUCUUGCUGUAAACAAGUGGUUUUAUGGCCUCCUUCAGCAGCUCUGGUGUUAUACCCUAUGCCAAUAUAUGGGGAGGCAUCAAAUCAUAGUCUUCCAAUAGUUGAAUUGUACCCCCUCUUGGCAAUUCUGUUCCUUUAGACAACAUUGACUUUUCUAAUUAUCCAAGAGCAGAAUCUUCAAUGGAGUACUCGCAUUCUUCAUGCAGGGGAUGCACUAUUUAUUCCUGAAGGCUGGUUCCACCAGGUGGAUAGUGAUGAUCUGACAAUCGCUGUCAACUUUUGGUGGCAAUCAAACAUAAUGUCAUGAUGUCAGAACACAUGGAUGCAUAUUAUUUGCGCAUCAUCAUCAUCAUCUUGAAACCCAACAAAGCUGCUCCGAAAUAAAGACAUCAUGCUCUGAACUCUGGACAAUAAACAGGGCACCUAUGCAACAAGUAAGGGUUAGCAAUGACUGGGUUAGCUCAACAAUGUUCAAGUUAUGAUACAGAUUUUUAUGAUGUUCACUUUAAAAAUUUUGAAUUAUUUCAUUUUGUCAAGUAAUAAAUUUCUAUAGUUUAAAUAUUACUCAAGGAAAUUGAUAGAACUAUAUUUCUUUUUAAAAUUGAUAUGUAUUGGUCAUUGAUUGACUACCACAAUCAGUGAUUGUGAUCUCUUUAGAAUGGUAGAUCUAUGCUUGUGGAUCAUUGAUCAAUACACUUCAUGCUGUCAAUUGUUGUGAAUCUCCGAGUUACAUUAUCUUACUUGUAAAACCUUUUAUUUCAGCAAGAGGAAGCCUGGAACGCAUACCCAAUAUGCAAAACAGGUUUGGCGUGUCUUUAUCUUGUUAUUUUCUGUGUAUAUCAAUUGUUAAACAAUCUUAAAUAAUUUAUCUAACAAAGUUUUUGACUCUGGUUUCUCUGCAAUGGAUGCCCAAUCAUACAGUAAUCAAGGUUUUAGUUGAGAAAAUGGGGCUUCCUGAAGCAUCUUGAAGUGUGGGAUCAAGUAAUAUGGAUUUACUAGGGUGCAAUAGAUGUGUUGGAGAGAAGCACUCGGGUUCAGUAGCUUGAUGGAACUGUUGUACCACUAUGAUCUUCUCCAUUGGAGGUAACUUUGAGUGAUUCUCCCUGUUGUGUGUGUUUUUAUGAAAUUAUCAGCUUUGGGAAACUUUCAAGGCAGAGAAUCUCAUUUUUGAUGCAUACUUGGUGUAGGUUUUUCAGGAACUAUAUGGUGGAUUGUUGCAUAAAGAGUCAUUGGAAGAUCAAGCAUGGAGUACCCGGCAUUGCAGCAAGCUAUAUUUUCUUUCAUCAUGUAAAACUUAGCCAGAAAACUUAAAAGCUUCUUAGUCUAUGAGAUGUAUCAAUGUUUUAACAAUGUUCCUUAAAUUCAAUAUUUGAUGAAUUGAUGUAUCACAAUGCUUUUGGUACAAAUAUUGAUCAUUUGAUGGUUUGCAUUCAA